CCUACGGGAGGCAGCAGUGAGGAAUAUUGGUCAAUGGACGAGAGUCUGAACCAGCCAAGUAGCGUGAAGGAUGACUGCCCUAUGGGUUGUAAACUUCUUUUAUAAAGGAAUAAAACGAGGCACGUGUGCCUUUUUGCAUGUACUUUAUGAAUAAGGAUCGGCUAACUCCGUGCCAGCAGCCGCGGUAAUACGGAGGAUCCGAGCGUUAUCCGGAUUUCUUGGGUUUAAAGGGAGCGUAGAUGGGUUGUUAAGUUAGUUGUGAAAGUUUGCGGCUCAACCGUAAAAGUGCAAUUGAUACUGGCAGUCUUGAGUACAGUUGAGGUAGGCGGAAUUCGUGGUGUAGCGGUGAAAUGCGUAGAUAUCACGAAGAACCCCGAUUGCGAAGGCAGCUUACUAAACUGUGACUGACAUUGAUGCUCGAAAGUGUGGGUAUCAAACAGGAUUAGAUACCCCUGUAGUC
rnacentral:rRNA from 1 species